rnacentral:rRNA from 1 species
GGACCUACGGGGGGCAGCAGUGGGAAUAUUGGGCAAUGGAGGAAACUCUGACCCAGCAAUGCCGCGUGAAUGAAGAAGGUCUUCGGAUUGUAAAGUUCUUUAGUCAGGGAAGAAGUCAAUGACGGUACCUGAAGAAUAAGCUCCGGCUAACUACGUGCCAGCAGCCGCGGUAAUACGUAGGGAGCAAGCGUUGUUCGGAAUGACUGGGCGUAAAGGGUGCGUAGGCGGUUGUACAAGUUUGAAGUGAAAUACCCAGGGCUUAACUCGGGUGCUGCUUCUUAAACUGUAUGACUUGAGUGCAGUAG